rnacentral:rRNA from 1 species
UGAGGAAUAUUGGUCAAUGGGGGCAACCCUGAACCAGCCAUGCCGCGUGAAGGAAGAAGGUCCUAAGGAUUGUAAACUUCUUUUGUACGGGGGUAAUUUUCGGCUCGUGAGCUGAAUUGAAAGUACUGUACGAAUAAGCAUCGGCUAACUCCGUGCCAGCAGCCGCGGUAAUACGGAGGAUGCGAGCGUUAUCCGGAUUUAUUGGGUUUAAAGGGUGCGUAGGCGGGUUUGUAAGUCAGUGGUGAAAGACUGUCGCUUAACGAUAGCAUUGCCAUUGAUACUGCAGAUCUUGAGUAUAUUUGAGGUAGGCGGAAUGUGUAGUGUAGCGGUGAAAUGCUUAGAUAUUACACAGAACACCAAUUGCGAAGGCAGCUUACUAAACUAUAACUGACGCUGAGGC